rnacentral:rRNA from 1 species
CGUAAAGCGCAUGCAGGUGGUUUGUUAAGUCAGAUGUGAAAGCCCGGGGCUCAACCUCGGAAUAGCAUUUGAAACUGGCAGACUAGAGUACUGUAGAGGGGGGUAGGAAUUUCAGGUGUAGCGGUGAAAUGCGUAGAGAUCUGAAGGAAUACCGGUGGCGAAGGCGGCCCCCUGGACAGAUACUGACACUCAGAUCGCGAAAGCGUGGGGAGCAAACCAGGAUUAGAUACCCUCGGUAG